rfam:Myotis lucifugus cont2.46257, whole genome shotgun sequence.
GCCAGUUUGGCUCAGUGGACAGAGCAUUGGCCUGCAGACUGAAAGGUCCUGGGUUCGAUUCCCGGUCAGGGCA